GGGGAUGUAGCUCAGUGGGAGAGCACUUGCUUUGCAUGUAAGAGGCCCUGGGUUCAACCCCCAGCAUCUCCA
rnacentral:tRNA from 1 species